UGAGGAAUAUUGGUCAAUGGGCGCGAGCCUGAACCAGCCAAGUAGCGUGAAGGAUGACUGCCCUAUGGGUUGUAAACUUCUUUUGUCCGGGAAUAAAACCGCCUACGUGUAGGCGCUUGUAUGUACCGGUACGAAUAAGCAUCGGCUAACUCCGUGCCAGCAGCCGCGGUAAUACGGAGGAUGCGAGCGUUAUCCGGAUUUAUUGGGUUUAAAGGGAGCGCAGACGGGUUUUUAAGUCAGCUGUGAAAGUUUGGGGCUCAACCUUAAAAUUGCAGUUGAUACUGGAGACCUUGAGUGCAGUUGAGGCAGGCGGAAUUCGUGGUGUAGCGGUGAAAUGCUUAGAUAUCACGAAGAACUCCGAUUGCGAAGGCAGCUUGCUAAAGUGUAACUGACGUUCAUG
rnacentral:rRNA from 1 species